UACAGAGGGGGCAAGCGUUGUUCGGAAUUACUGGGCGUAAAGGGCGCGUAGGCGGCCCUCUAAGUCAGACGUGAAAUCCCUCGGCUCAACCGGGGAACUGCGUCUGAGACUGGAAGGCUUGAAUUCGGGAGAGGGAUGUGGAAUUCCAGGUGUAGCGGUGAAAUGCGUAGAUAUCUGGAGGAACACCGGUGGCGAAGGCGGCAUCCUGGACCGGCAUUGACGCUGAGGCGCGAAAGCUAGGGGGGCAAACGGG
rnacentral:rRNA from 1 species